AGGUCAUUAGGGUGGGUCAUUAAUCCAAUGUGACUGACUGUGUCCUUAUAAAAAGGAAAUGAUAAAGGGACACAGGGAGAACUUGGCCUUCUGAAAGCCAAGGAGAGAAGCUUGGAACUGAUCCUUCCCUGGUGUUUGAGGAAGUGUGACUCUGCCUGAUUUCAGACUUCUAGUCUCUGAAACAGUGAGAUAGUAUAUGUCUCCUGUUUAAGCCACCCAGUCUGUGGUCUUUUGUUAUGGCAGCUCCAGCAGAUGAAUGUGCUGUGUUUUCCUGAAUGACCUUGACUGUGAGUUCUCAGUGUACGAGGGAUUUGACUACAUAAGAUAUAAUCACAGCUUGAGGAGGUAUAAAAACCAGUUUGGAAAAUAAAGUGCGGGCGCCACCUGCCGGGGUCCAGCCCCGGCUGAUCCAGGGUAUUUGAAGCGGGGACGGCAUCGGCGAGGUUUAUUUGUUGAAGAAACUGGAACAUUUGUCUUGUGGUUUCCCAAUUAUUGGACAUCACUGCCUUCAUCCUUGUGUUCAAGUUGGCCAUACUCCUGCUUCCUGUCUGUUUCCACCUGACCUGAUCUGUUCAGGUCAGUUUCCUCUGCUGGAAGGAAUCCUUGCUGACUGUGUCACUGUGUUCUCCCCCAAAGCCAUGGGGAGGAGUGGAAUCGCCUCCCUAACAUUGAGUGUGGCCAGAAGUACAGUUGAGGUCACCUGAUCUACGCCUUAUAAAAUGACCCACCAGCUGUUUACCUAAGGGUUUGAAGAGCCACUAGUUAUUAUUGUCAUAGCUAUCUCACUAGGAAUUUCAAGGCAGUUAUAGUCUAUUCUAUUCUUUCUGUAUGUUUUGGCUUAAAUAUUUCAACUGAGAUACCAUUCUUAAGACAGCAAGAUUAAAAAAAAAAGAAAAAAGCAAGCUGAAUGUGUUUUUCCUUAUUCAAAACAGUUUUCACAAGUCGUAGGAGGAUGAGGAAACACAGGAAACUUGUGUAUUUUGGCAUAAUUGUUGUGGGGGCUGAGCCCCUGCAGGCUGUAAUCCACUGUGAUGUUAAUGAAGACCUGUUGUGUGCCCCUGGCAUGUCAUAUCAGACAAAACCCUGGCAACUGGGGAUAAGAAAGAGAUCACUUUAGCUCUGCCUGAUGCCAUCAAAUGGAAAAGGGAAGGAGCCCCCCAGUGUUAGGAUGAAGAAUGGAGAGCCAAAAUUUGCCCAACUCCAACAGAGCUCUGUCAUCUAGUCCCUGGUUUUUCAAAAGCAUAUGCUUAUGAACUCACAGGAUAACUUAACUGGGCUUGGAGAGAAAUGCCUGAUAUCCCGAUGUUUAAAGAAAUGUGUCUGCUUAUGUUGCAUUUAAGAGUUUCAGUCCGCAAAUUCUGGUGUGUAAUGAAUGUGACAUUAUAUAUUCAUCCUUGAACACCAUUUCUUUUUUGAGUCCUUCAAUUUCUGGAAUUUAAUGCUUGACAACACAGGGUCUCCUCACCCUUGCCUUUGUUUCCCAGAGGAUGUCCUGGGCUUAAGGACUGAGGAUUUUCGUAGUGGUUUUCUGGGCUGGUAGCCACGGAAGGAUUCUUAAUUCUGCCUCUUCUUUGAUUGUGGACACACAUUGUCACGACUGUGUUCUUUAAAGUUCAUGACCCUUCUCCCAUUUCUAGUUCUGAACUUCUGAAUCUGGCUGAACUUCCUUAUAUUUCUAUGUUAUUUGGGGGGCAGACAGGAAACCGUUUACAUUUCUGUGACAAUUGGUGGCUAGAAGUGGUCCCAGACUAUUCUAGGCUGCUACUCCCUUGAGAGGCUGGAAGUGGGACAGGGAGGGUGGGAUUGUCAAGGUUCUGCCCUCAGGUUCCCCAGACUUUUCCAGCUUGUUCUUGUCUCCUCCUUGUCCUGCCUUGAUGUGGAAUCAGACUCAGCCCCCACAUCAAUUAUGCCAAAAUAUUCAAGCUUCCUGUGCUUCCUCAUCUCUUUCUUCCUCCUACAACAUGGAGAAUAUUUUUCCCAUUCUGGAGGGCAGGGAGAGUCAUCCCAUAUUUGUUGAUUUUGAGUACUGUCCCUUUUGAGUUUUGUGCUCUUCUAUAAAAGCACUUCUUGGACACAAAAAAUGUAUCAUCCUCUAACUCAAAUGUCAAAAGGGGAGCAGAAGGAAACAUCAGGAAUAAAAUAUGCUUCAGUGAAUAUAGCAAAACAGGACCCCAGCAUAUUUGUUGUACAGGUUGCUACACCUCGAAAGAGGGGCUGCUGUUCUGCUCUACAGAUGAUUAGAACGUCCAGAUGCCCUGUGGUCAUUCAGUUCCUGCAAAUAAGAAGCCUGGAAGUCCAGAGCAGGGAGCCAUGGGCAAAACAAUUUCGGUCACAAGGAUUUUUUUUUUAAUUAAUUAAUUUUAAAUGGAGGACAAUCACUUCACAACACUGUGGUGGCCCCUGCCACACAAUUACAUGGACCAGCCAUGGGCACACACGUGCCCCCCUGUCCUGAACCCCCCUUCCCCCUCCCUCCUCACCCCAUCCCUCUGAGUUGUCCCAGAGCACCGGCUUUGAGUGCCCUGCUUCAUGAAUCAGACUCGAACUUGCAAGGAUGUUUUUAAAUUUCCUUUCAUCAUUCAUUUUUUCUGUUGUUGAGAUGCGUGUGGAAAGCUGUUACUUGUAGGGAGCAGCAGAAAGGCCAGAAGUAUUUAAACAUCCACAAAAAAGACGUGGUGAAAGUUUGGACCAAGGAGAAAGGGCGCCUUCCAGGUUGAGAAGUAGAAGGAACUAGUGACAGACAGAACCACGGUUCACCUAAGAAUGGAUUCCAUUCCCUUGGGUCCAUGGGGCCCCAGGGGCUCUGCCAGGCCCUUCACUUAACAGCUACAGAACUAAACACAUUGGAUUUUUACUGUGUGCCAGCACGCGGCUGAAUUCUUCACAGGGGUUAAUCUAUUUAUUCUUCACAACCUGAGAGAAGUGACACAAACAGUCAAACAUCACGGAGCAGGGAGGAGCUGGCUUCAGCCCAGGUCUGCCUGACUCCUGGGCCCACGUUCCUCACUCUCCAGCGAGUGGCAUUGCUCAUUAUUGUUGGCAGAUGCAGAUGGGUUGCCUGUGCGGCACCAGGCUCUGGAGGACGCCAGCUCCCAUGGAGUGUCUGUGUGCUUGGAUGUGGGGAGAGGUUCUUCACGUCACUUCAGGGAGCAUGUCUGGGAUUUCAAACAGCAGGGAUGAUAGGUGGAACCAAGACAGGGACUGGGUAAAACAUAAACAUUUGUCCUAUACCAGAGAGCAAAUUUGACUGCUAUUUACACUUUGACCUCAAGAAUU